GACGAACGCUGGCGGCGUGCUUAGCACAUGCAAGUCGAACGGAAAGGCCCUGCUUUUGUGGGGUGCUCGAGUGGCGAACGGGUGAGUAACACGUGAGUAACCUGCCCUUGACUUUGGGAUAACUUCAGGAAACUGGGGCUAAUACCGGAUAGGAGCUCCUGCUGCAUGGUGGGGGUUGGAAAGUUUCGGCGGUUGGGGAUGGACUCGCGGCUUAUCAGCUUGUUGGUGGGGUAGUGGCUUACCAAGGCUUUGACGGGUAGCCGGCCUGAGAGGGUGACCGGCCACAUUGGGUCUGAGAUACGGCCCAGACUCCUACGGGCGGCAGCAGUGGGGAAUAUUGCACAAUGGGCGGAAGCCUGAUGCAGCAACGCCGCGUGCGGGAUGACGGCCUUCGGGUUGUAAACCGCUUUCGCCUGUGACGAAGCGUGAGUGACGGUAAUGGGUAAAGAAGCACCGGCUAACUACGUG
rnacentral:rRNA from 1 species